GACGAACCGUCCAAACGUUAUUCGGAAUCACUGGGCUUAAAGGGUGCGUAGGCGGCGCGGAAAGUAGGGUGUGAAAGCCCUCGGCUCAACCGAGGAAUUGCGCUCUAAACUACUGUGCUUGAGGGACCUAGAGGUGAGCGGAACUGAUGGUGGAGCGGUGAAAUGCGUUGAUAUCAUCAGGAACACCGGAGGCGAAGGCGGCUCACUGGGGGUCUUCUGACGCUGAGGAACGAAAGCCAGGGGAGCGAACGGG
rnacentral:rRNA from 1 species